UUUAGUGUCCACAUCAACCGGAAGACACAGAAUGUGGAUAUUAUGUAAUGAAGAUGAUGAAAGAUUUAAUUCAAGCUUCGAAUCGGAAACACUUUUGGCCGAGUUAAGUGAUGCAAAGUAUACAGAAGAAGAAAUUGAUGAAGUGAAAGAGCAUUGGGCAAGUGAGAUGUUAUCGGUUAUUCAAACUUAUCGACGUUAGUUGUUUUUUGUUUUAAUAGGGCAAGUGAGAUGUUAUCGGUUAUUCAAACUUACCGAUGUUAGUUGUUUUUUGUUUUAAUAGACCAAUAGUUAUUAUAUAAUUUGAUAGUUAUGGAUUUAUUAGUAUAAUGAACUAAUAUGUAAUAUUUAUUAAUUUUGUUGAUGUGAAUUAUUAUUAUGGUCUAAUUUAUAAAUUUUACAUUUAGUCAAUUAAAAUUAUUAUUAUUAUA